rnacentral:piRNA from 1 species
UCGAACUCUUGACAGGUCUCAACCUAAGA